rnacentral:SRP_RNA from 1 species
GCUGGGCAUGGUGAUGCAUGCCUGUAAUCCCAGCUACUCAGGAGGCUGAGGCAGGAGAAUCACUUGAACCCAGGAGGCAGAGGUUGCAGUGAGCUGAGAUCAUACCACUGCACUCCAGCCUGGGUGACAGAGUGAGACUCCGUCUCAA